rnacentral:rRNA from 1 species
GUGAGGAAUAUUGGUCAAUGGGCGGGAGCCUGAACCAGCCAAGUCGCGUGAAGGAAGAAGGAUCUAUGGUUCGUAAACUUCUUUUGCAGGGGAAUAAAGUGCAGGACGUGUCCUGUUUUGUAUGUACCCUGAGAAUAAGGAUCGGCUAACUCCGUGCCAGCAGCCGCGGUAAUACGGAGGAUCCGAGCGUUAUCCGGAUUUAUUGGGUUUAAAGGGUUCGUAGGUGGUUUGAUAAGUCAGCGGUGAAAGUUUGCAGCUUAACUGUAAAAAUGCCGUUGAAACUGUCGGACUUGAGUGUAAAUGAGGUAGGCAGAAUGCGUGGUGUAGCGGGGAAAUGCAUAGAUAUCACGCAGAACUCCGAUUGCGAAGGCAGCUUACUAAGCUACAACUGACACUGAAGCACGAAAGCGUGGGGAUCAAACAGGAUUAGAAACCCGGGUAGUCC